rnacentral:rRNA from 1 species
GUGGGGAAUAUUGGGCAAUGGAGGAAACUCUGACCCAGCGACGCCGCGUGAGGGAUGAAGGCCUUCGGGUUGUAAACCUCUUUCAGCAGGGAAUAAGCGAAAGUGAAGGUACCUGCAGAAGAAGCACCGGCUAACUAUGUGCCAGCAGCCGCGGUAAUACAUAGGGUGCAAGCGUUGUCCGGAAUUAUUGGGCGUAAAGAGCUCGUAGGUGGUCGAUCACGUCGGAUGUGAAAAUCUGAGGCUUAACCUCAGACCUGCAUUCGAUACGGGUUGACUAGAGUGUGGUAGGGGAGACUGGAAUUCCUGGUGUAGCGGUGGAAUGCGCAGAUAUCAGGAGGAACACCGAUGGCGAAGGCAGGUCUCUGGGCCAUUACUGACACUGAGGAGCGAAAGCGUGGGGAGCGAACAGGAUUAGAUACCCUAGUAGUCC